rnacentral:rRNA from 1 species
ACGGAUUAAUAGGGCAACUUAUUAAUUAGUGGCGGAAGGGUUAGUAAUACAUGGGUAACUUACCUCUAACAUGGGAAUAACGAUUGGAAACGAUCGCUAAUACCGAAUACGGAGUAAUCAGGGCAUCCUGAGGAUUUCAAAGUGGGGGAUCGCAAGACCUCGCAGUUAGAGAGAGGCCCAUGCGAUAUCAGCUAGUUGGUGAGGUAAAAGCUCACCAAGGCU